CCUACGGGUGGCAGCAGUGAGGAAUAUUGGGCAAUGGACGAGAGUCUGAACCAGCCAAGUAGCGUGAAGGAUGACUGCCCUAUGGGUUGUAAACUUCUUUUAUAUGGGAAUAAAAUGUUCCACGUGUGGGAUUUUGUAUGUACCUUAUGAUUAAGGAUCGGCUAACUCCGUGCCAGCAGCCGCGGUAAUACGGAGGAUCCGAGCGUUAUCCGGAUUUAUUGGGUUUAAAGGGUGCGUAGGUGGAUUGUUAAGUCAGUUGUGAAAGUUUGCGGCUCAACCGUAAAAUUGCAGUUGAAACUGGCAGUCUUGAGUACAGUAGAGGUGGGCGGAAUUCGUGGUGUAGCGGUGAAAUGCUUAGAUAUCACGAAGAACUCCGAUUGCGAAGGCAGUUCACUGGACUGCAACUGACACUGAGGCUCGAAAGUGUGGGUAUCAAACAGGAUUAGAUACCCCAGUAGUC
rnacentral:rRNA from 1 species